ensembl:lincRNA
GGGCAAACAGUUUAUAACCCCCGGCUGUGAUCUGCAGUGGAGGGGUGGGAGAGGGAAAAACAAGAUGACACUAAUGUUGGGUGAGAACUGGAAGGCUGGCUGGUGAAGUUGGUAGGAACAAACGGAUUCCUGCUGGAGAUGCCGGAACCAGUCACUUCGCAGCAUGCGGUGUUCUGCAGCUUCUCUGCUGCAUCUGGGUGUUGCUGUCCCCAAGCAGAUUCUGUGAUACAAGGCGUCUGAAAGCUGCCUGCCCACGUGUCACUGCUGCACCAAAGCACAAGACCGCACAGCCACAGGACAGCACGGUCCUGAGCACACUUCUUAAGAGUGGCCACUUCUCAAGGAUUUUCACAGGAGUUGUGUUAACGUAACUGUCCAUACAGUCAGGACGAGACAGGAGUGGGAACAGCAUGGAAUGAAUAAAAAAUUAUUGUUCCUUUUCUAACGCGUAAUUGGACUUAACUUCAGACUUGUGAAAAAAUGUAAAGAACAAAAGGGAAGAAUUCCAUAUCACCUUUGUGCAGAUGCCUUAAUGUUAGCGUUCUGCAGAUUUUACUUAUUUUUCUGUUCUGCUUGAGCCUAAGUUGGAGCCAUGGAAAUGGGACUGAAAGGAAGAGGGUUUUUUAAAUGUACUUUAAGAGAAAGAGCAGAGAGUCAGUUACGUAACUGGAUUUUUUUCUGUUAAAACCUUUCUUUUAACCUUAAAACAAUUUGGAAUAAUAGUUUUGUCUUUGACACCAAGUAGUAAUUUAAGGUUUAAAAAAAAAUAUCAGGAGUCAGAUGAGACCUCAGUGUAAGGAGCAAACCUCUUCUUUCACUCCGACUCCCUCUAC